rnacentral:rRNA from 1 species
AUGCAUAACACAUAUACUCAACACUUCUCGUCGGUAAAAAAAGAUCAGAGCGGGCGGGUGCGGAGGAGAAACCUGACACGUGAGGAAGAGUUACUUCGGCCGUUCGGCGGUGGCAGAAAAGAGAAAGAGAAGAGAGAGGCAGCACCAACGAAACAGGUUCUCAUAGAGAUAGAGGCUGUCAGAAUAACUGGAAAGUCCAGAGGUAUCCCAAUGGAGCAAGCUCUCAAGGAGGCAGAGGCUACUGUGGAAGUGUCAGAGCACGACGAACAUGCUCCCGAGGAGAUUCAGGCUACUACAGUAGAGGACAAGUUGAAGAAGCUUAAUCUGAAGAAAAAGCCGAGGAGGCGCAGGGGUAAGAACAAGGUUGUGGAUGAAUCUCUUUCUGAUCCAAAUGCCUACGAAGCUCGUCUUCAUCGAAAAUUCUCGGAUUCAACAUUUGCUGGCCCACGAUAUGGUUCCUACGAGACCACAACUUCUAUCCCUCCCAUGCGAUUCACUGAUGAUGAGUGUGACCUCGCUGGACCACUUGAGACUCUUCAGAUUUUUUCUAUCAAAGUCGUUGGAGUAAAGAAGGGGAUAUCUUGGCCACUUAGUCUCUAUGGCAAGAUUGCGGCGCGCGACACAGUUGAUCGCAAUCGCAAUAUCAUCUUUGAUUGCGACAGGGAUAACUGUGAAAUCCUCUACGAGGAUGUACGUAUAUAUUCUCCAAAAAUACUAUUUUCUCUUUUUUAA